rnacentral:rRNA from 1 species
UACGAAGGGGGCUAGCGUUGCUCGGAAUCACUGGGCGUAAAGGGUGCGUAGGCGGGUCUUUAAGUCAGGGGUGAAAUCCUGGAGCUCAACUCCAGAACUGCCUUUGAUACUGAAGAUCUUGAGUUCGGGAGAGGUGAGUGGAACUGCGAGUGUAGAGGUGAAAUUCGUAGAUAUCGAGAGGAACACCAGUGGCGAAGGCGAGUCCCUGGACAAUUCUUGACACUGAGGCACGAAAGCUAGGGGAGCAAACAGG